GUCUGAGCAAAACAGAGCAGAUUCUCCUGAACCGAGCUGUGUGUCCAUGAAGAGGGACUGGUCCAAGGACUUUCCUCUGACUUUCAACCAGCAACAUUCAGAGACCGAGCAGGACAGAGCAGAAUCUCCUGAACCGAGCUGUGUGUCCAUGAAGAGUGACUGGUCCAAGAACAUUCCUCUGUCUUUCAACCAGCAACAUUCAGAGACCGAGCAGAACGGACCAGAUUCUCCUGAACCGAGCUGUGUGUCCAUGAAGAGUGACUGGUCCAAGAACAUUCCUCUGUCUUUCAACCAGCAACAUUCAGAGUAUGUCGAGAAUUUAUAUUCAGAUAAAUAAUGAACAAACAGCUCUGUUGAUUCUCUUAAAUAUUACUUCAUGUUUUUUUCAGUUUUAAGUAUUAGUCCAUUAUUUAAUUCCUUCUGAUGUUGACUCUGUCACACAGACAUAAAGGUGAAAAGCACUGAGACAGUUUGUUGGUAAUUACUAGAGUUCAGUUACUUCCUCAUUGCAUUCUUCUAAUCGCUCCAUGUUCAUUACUUUUCACAAGAGCCGUCAUGUCACACAGACAACACACGAAAUCUGUUGUGCCCGUGAAAUGUUAAAUGUUGCGUGUCAAAUAAUCUUUUCUAUGAACUACUUCCUGGGACUGCGGUGUACUUUCAGUUUCUUCACAGCAUUCGAUCUCUCCUCUGUUGGUUUUGUGUAUGAGGCCUAAGUUUGUAUGUUGUGUCGAUGUAAAUAAAACUCUCUUCAUCACUAAUGGAUCAUGUUUUCUCCUCAGAGAGACCUCAGAUGUUUCCACUGACCAUCGCAGUCCCCUGGACUCCAUAUUUAUGUGUCUUGAGGAGAACGUUGUUGGCUUUGUGAAGAAAGAGCUGAAGAAGUUCAAGGGGAUGCUGAGUCCAGAUUACCCAGAAUGCCCCGAGGACCAGUGUGAGGAUGAGGGGGUGGUCGAUGAAGAGGAAGCACAGAGGAGGUACGGCAGUAAGUUGGUUCUGGACAUGACUCUGCUGUUCAUGAGGAGGAUGAACCUGGGGGAGCUGGCUGCCUCUCUGGAGAAGAGAAGUAUGAGACUUAUACAAAGUGUAGCAAAGAACACAAAACAAAACGCUGCAUUUCCAGGUCUGAUGUCUGCCAUCAGUCUGGUGUUCAGCACCUGCUUCAGGUAG
rnacentral:lncRNA from 1 species